rnacentral:rRNA from 1 species
GACGAACGCUGGCGGCGUGCCUAAUACAUGCAAGUAGAACGCAGUUGCGAACGGGUGGGUGACUCGUAGGUAACUGCCUGGUAGCGGGGGGUAACUAUUGGAAACGAUAGCUAAUACCGCAUACUACCAGAUGGACCUGCGUUGUAUUAGCUAGUUGGUGGGGUACCGGCCCACCAAGGCAACGAUACAUAGCCGACCUGGGAGGGUGAUCGGCCACACUGGGACCUAGACACGGCCCAGACUCCUACGGGAGGCAGCAGUAGGGAAUUGUAGGCAAUGGACGGAAGUCUGACCGAGCAACGCCGCGGGAGUGAAGAAGGGCUUCGGAGCGUAAAGCUCUGUUGUAAGAGAAGCGGUAUCUAACCAGAAAGCCACGGCUAACUACGUGCCAGCAGCCGCGGUAAUAC